rnacentral:rRNA from 1 species
UACAGAGGGGUGCAAGCGUUGCUCGGAAUCAUUGGGCGUAAAGGGCAGGUAGGUGGUCUGAUUUGUCUGGAGGUGUAAAGCCUUGGCUUAACCCAAGAAGUGCCCCGGAAACGGUCAGACUUUUGAGUCUGGAGAGGGUUGCGGAAUUCCCGGUGUAGCCGGUGAAAUGCGGUAGAGAUCGGGAGGAACACCAGAGGCGGAAGGCGGC